rnacentral:rRNA from 1 species
UACGUAGGGUGCAAGCGUUAAUCGGAAUUACUGGGCGUAAAGCGUGCGCAGGCGGUUAUGCAAGACAGAUGUGAAAUCCCCGGGCUCAACCUGGGAACUGCAUUUGUGACUGCAUGGCUAGAGUGCGGCAGGGGGGGAUGGAAUUCCGCGUGUAGCAGUGAAAUGCGUAGAUAUGCGGAGGAACACCGAUGGCGAAGGCAAUCCCCUGGGCCUGCACUGACGCUCAUGCACGAAAGCGUGGGGAGCAAACAGG